rnacentral:rRNA from 1 species
AUUGAACGCUAGCGGGAUGCUUUACACAUGCAAGUCGAACGAGUGGCGGACGGGUGAGAAAUAUAUCGGCACGUGCCCAGUAGCGGGGGAUAACUAAUCGAAAGAGUGGAUAAUACCGCAUAAUAUUGGAGCGGCCGAUAUCGGAUAGGCUAGUUGGUGGGGUAAAGGAACUCAAAGGCAACGAUCCGUAGCCGGUUUGAGAGGACGACAAGCCACACUGGGACUGAGACAGGGCCCAGACCCCUACGUGAGGCAGCAUUGGGGAAGUUUGGACAAUGGGGGAAACCCUGAUCCAGCCAUCCCGCGUGUAUGAGAAGGCCUUCGGGUUGUAAAGUACUUUUGGCAGAGAAGCGGUAUCUGCAUAAUAAGCACCGGCUAACUACGUGCCAGCAGCCGCGGUAAUUC